rnacentral:lncRNA from 1 species
CUCUAAUAAAAUACAAAACCUACCCUAUACACUCCUAUAAUAUCUUUUUAAUCCCUUUCUCUUUCUUUGUUCUUUUUUUCUUUUUAAUAAUUUAAGUGUACUUUAUAUACUCCCAUCUCUUUCCACUUAGCCGCAAGCCCGCAACCAUUCUUUUUCAUCUCUCCAGAUUCUCCUCUUCCUCCUCUUUCUUCUUCACUUCAUCGUAGUAGCUAGUGAAAAGAAUAGUUUCGGCAAAAGUCUCUCUCUCUCAAGUCCCAAAUCUUGAAACCCAACAAAUUUUUUCUUUAAAUUGGUUGCAACGUUUACUCAAUUUCAGAUUUUCAAGUAUUAUUCUAUGCUCCAGUGUUUAUCAAUUAUUAUUCAAAGUGAAGUUAGAUUUGCAAGUCUGUCUCGAUCAUAA